rnacentral:lncRNA from 1 species
CUGGGUGUAGUCAAGUACUUGACUUGUCGGUGCAUGUGUCAAGAUGGGAUUGACCACUCCAGUUUAGGAGCUGUGUACAGUCGUGUUUUAAUUUAGCAAAAUCUUGGCCAGGGUAGUCCUUGUGAGGAGUCACAGGACUGUUUGAGUUGAGCACGAUUCGGAUGAUCUGAUCAGGGUUGACAGUUUAACCCUGAGUCAUCCUAAACACAGAGGUCAAAAGGAUGAAUUAUACAGUAACCAUAUUCAUGUAGGUUCUGAGUGUUGCGAUUGCAACUCUUCGACCUAUCCGAACAUCGGGUACCAUUACUAGAUGGUCACUUCGAUUAGUAUAGGAAUUGGUUCCUGUGCUACCGGUUUAGGUUCGAACCUGCGGGGUCACACACAUUAGAGGUUCCUAUCUGAUCUGAUGGCUGAUGUAGAAUCUUACAUAUUUUGGACUCAGUGAUCGAGAAUCAGGAUUCUCUGAUCACGAGUUCCACACAUUAUGGGUACCGGGGUCAAGAGUCCCACUGGUUGGGACUUUUCGAUCAGGAUUACAUAUCGAUGAAUUCUGAUGCCCGAUUGCCCAUUGGAUUUGGACUCAGUAUUUAUGAGAGAUUUAAUUAAUAAUUUAAUCACUAAUUAACUCAAUUUGAUAGA